rnacentral:rRNA from 1 species
GAGUUUGAUCAUGGCUCAGAUUGAACGCUGGCGGCAUGCCUUACACAUGCAAGUCGAACGGCAGCAUGAUCUAGCUUGCUAGAUUGAUGGCGAGUGGCGAACGGGUGAGUAAUACAUCGGAACGUGCCCUGUAGUGGGGGAUAACUAGUCGAAAGAUUAGCUAAUACCGCAUACGACCUGAGGGUGAAAGUGGGGGACCGCAAGGCCUCAUGCUAUAGGAGCGGCCGAUGUCUGAUUAGCUAGUUGGUGGGGUAAAGGCCCACCAAGGCGACGAUCAGUAGCUGGUCUGAGAGGACGAUCAGCCACACUGGGACUGAGACACGGCCCAGACUCCUACGGGAGGCAGCAGUGGGAAUUUUGGACAAUGGGCGAAAGCCUGAUCCAGCAAUGCCGCGUGUGUGAAG